GACGAACCGUGCGAACGUUGUUCGGAAUCAUUGGGCUUAAAGGGCGCGUAGGCGGGCGGUCAAGUCAGAGGUGAAAGCCCACGGCUCAACCGUGGAAGUGCCUCUGAUACUGGCCAUCUGGAGGGAGGUAGGGGCGUGCGGAACUUCCGGUGGAGCGGUGAAAUGCGUAGAUAUCGGAAGGAACACCGGUGGCGAAAGCGGCGCGCUGGACCUCUACUGACGCUGAGGCGCGAAAGCCAGGGGAGCAAACGGG
rnacentral:rRNA from 1 species